rnacentral:rRNA from 1 species
AUACGGAGGGAGCAAGCGUUAUUAGGAAUCACUGGGCGUAAAGCGCGCGUAGGCGGUUUGAUCAGUCGGAUGUGAAAGCCCUGGGCUCAACCUGGGAACUGCAUUCGAUACUGUCAGACUAGAAUAUGGUAGAGGGUAGUGGAAUUCCUGGUGUAGCGGUGAAAUGCGUAGAUAUCAGGAGGAACAUCAGUGGCGAAGGCGGCUACCUGGACCAAUAUUGACGCUGAGGUGCGAAAGCGUGGGGAGCAAACAGGAUUAGAAACCCCAGUAGUCC